ACGGCGAGUGAACCGGGAAGAGCUCAAAUUUGAAAUCUGGCUGUCUUCGAUAGUCCGAGUUGUAAUCUAUAGAAGCGUUUUCCGUGCUGAACUGUGUCUAAGUCCCUUGGAACAGGGUAUCAAAGAGGGUGACAAUCCCGUACUUGACACAAUCAUCAGUGCUCUGUGAUACGCUCUCUACGAGUCGAGUUGUUUGGGAAUGCAGCUCAAAAUGGGUGGUAAAUUCCAUCUAAAGCUAAAUAUUGGCGAGAGACCGAUAGCGAACAAGUACCGUGAGGGAAAGAUGAAAAGCACUUUGGAAAGAGAGUUAAACAGUACGUGAAAUUGUUGAAAGGGAAACGAUUGAAGUCAGUCGUGUUCAUUGGAUUCAGCCGGUCUUCGGUGUACUUCCUUUGAACGGGUCAACAUCAGUUUUGCCCGGUGGAUAAAGGCAGUAGGAAUGUGGCCUCUUCGGAGGUGUUAUAGCCUAUUGUCACAUACACUGGGGGAGACUGAGGACUGCAGCUCGCC
rnacentral:rRNA from 1 species